AGAGUUUGAUUCUGGCUCAGGAUGAACGCUAGCGGCAGGCUUAACACAUGCAAGUCGAGGGGCAGCACGGAAGUAGUAAUAUUUCUGGUGGCGACCGGCGCACGGGUGCGUAACGCGUAUGCAACCUACCCACGAUUGGGGAAUAACCCGGAGAAAUUCGGACUAAUACCCCGUACAUUUAGAAGAGGCAUCUCUUUUAGAUAAAAGAUUUAUCGUUCGUGGAUGGGCAUGCGUGCCAUUAGGUAGUUGGUAAGGUAACGGCUUACCAAGCCUACGAUGGUUAGGGGUUCUGAGAGGAAGGUCCCCCACACUGGUACUGAGACACGGACCAGACUCCUACGGGAGGCAGCAGUGAGGAAUAUUGGUCAAUGGACGCAAGUCUGAACCAGCCAUGCCGCGUGCAGGAUGACGGCUCUAUGAGUUGUAAACUGCUUUUGUACAAGGGUAAUAGUGGAUACGUGUAUCCAUCUGAAAGUAUUGUACGAAUAAGGAUCGGCUAACUCCGUGCCAGCAGCCGCGGUAAUACGGAGGAUUCGAGCGUUAUCCGGAUUUAUUGGGUUUAAAGGGUGCGUAGGCGGCGUCUGUAAGUUAGAGGUGAAAUCGAGUGGCUCAACCACUGAAUUGCCUCUGAUACUGCAGCGCUAGAGAUUAGAUGCAGAGGGCGGAAUGUGUGGUGUAGCGGUGAAAUGCUUAGAUAUCACACAGAACACCGAUUGCGAAGGCAGCUCUCUAAUCUACAUCUGACGCUCAGGCACGAAAGCGUGGGUAGCGAACAGGAUUAGAUACCCUGGUAGUCCACGCAGUAAACGAUGAUAACUCGUUGUCGGCGAUAUACAGUCGGUGACCAAGCGAAAGCGAUAAGUUAUCCACCUGGGGAGUACGACCGCAAGGUUGAAACUCAAAGGAAUUGACGGGGGCCCGCACAAGCGGAGGAACAUGUGGUUUAAUUCGAUGAUACGCGAGGAACCUUACCCGGGCUUGAAAGUUAGUGAUCGCUGGUGAAAGCCGGCUUCCCUUCGGGGCACGAAACUAGGUGCUGC
rnacentral:rRNA from 1 species